UGAUCUCAUCGUAUAUAUUACGAUUUAUUGUUAUUUUGUGAUCGUUUUGUUUUACGAUCUCCCAUCCUUACACUUGUAAUCUCUUAGACUCUAUCUAACCACUUCCUAUACUUGGUACACAUCGAGUCUCUAACAGUUUUCAAUAUGGUACGCUGAGUGGUUUCCCACAAACAACCAACAAACUAGGUUCCGAGUUGCUAGUUCGUAUAUACCUCCGCUCUAUGAAGGAAUCGUUUAGCCCAGAUACCAUACAUCAACUAGUUUCGAGUACAAUGGUACCAUACUUAAACCUAACUUUCUGACCCUGCGAGAUUCUUCAACUAACUCUAUGUGAGUUAGUACUUAUCCUAAUCACUGCGGUUAUUGGUCUAAGGUAUUGCUACCUAAGCUUCAUAACCAACAGCUUUGAUACCAACUGUAGCGUCCCCCAAAUCCGGGUCCCGAAUCGCCGCGGAUCCGGUUUGCUAUUUCUACAACUGUUGCGGAAGAUAUAAACAUAAAUUGUUUAUACAUUAAACUUUACACACUAUUCCCAAAAUCGAGUAACCUUAACUAAUACACAAUCGUGAACUGUCUAACACAUGACAAUACUAUUCUUCAACAUACUUUACAACUUAACUUCACAUUCUAUCCCAAGCUGAACUUGGCAUUAUCCUUUUCCUGUAUCUGGCCGUAUUCGCCUUAUCUGCAAUGUUUUAUCAUGAUAUAGCAAGGGUGAGCAUGAAAGUUGCCCAGCAAG
rnacentral:lncRNA from 1 species